rnacentral:rRNA from 1 species
GAAAUUUCAUCCGCACUAGCGAUASCUAGUUUCUUCGGAAAGAUAUAAAAGUGUCGUUCAAAAAGCUUAACUUUGUAAUAUUAAUUAUUACAUAUGCUUCUUUUUCAUUAAUUUUUCUGAGGAUAAGCUCAGAAAAAAGUUAAGAUUUUUUUAGUUAAAAUUAUUAUGUGGGCCUAAAAUUGGCCACCAUAAAAGUUUGUUAUAAAAUAGUAAUCUUAAUUCAAAAAAUAAAUAUAUUUUAAUCCAAACCCCUACGGAGAUAAAAACUUUAAUUAAAGUAGGUUUUAUACCUAUGCUAGGAUGAGUAUUAUAAAUCUAAUUACAAAAGAAAUUUACCUGUAUUUUCUUCAAAAAAUCUUUUUUAAAAAAUUAAUUGAUUAGAAGGAACUCGGCAAGUUUAGUUKUCGCCUGUUUAUCAAAAACAUGGCUCUUUGCCUAUAUAAGUAUAAAGAGUCGAGCCUGCCC